rnacentral:tRNA from 1 species
GUGGAUGUAGCCAAGUGGUACGGCACUUCCUUGCCAUGGAAGACUUCGUGGGUUCGAUUCCCAUCAUCCACUCCG